CAGUAAGGAACCUGGAACAUCGAAGUACAGUAAGAAACCUGAAACAUCGAAGUACAGUAAGGAACCUGAAAC